GAUGAACGCUGGCGGCGUGCUUAACACAUGCAAGUCGAACGAAGCAUUUAAGACAGAUUACUUCGGUUUGAAGUCUUUUAUGACUGAGUGGCGGACGGGUGAGUAACGCGUGGGUAACCUGCCUCAUACAGGGGGAUAGCAGCUGGAAACGGCUGGUAAUACCGCAUAAGCGCACAGUACCACAUGGUACAGUGUGAAAAACUCCGGUGGUAUGAGAUGGACCCGCGUCUGAUUAGCUUGUUGGCGGGGUAACGGCCCACCAAGGCGACGAUCAGUAGCCGACCUGAGAGGGUGACCGGCCACAUUGGGACUGAGACACGGCCCAGACUCCUACGAGAGGCAGCAGUGGGGAAUAUUGCACAAUGGAGGAAACUCUGAUGCAGCGACGCCGCGUGAGUGAAGAAGUAGUUCGCUAUGUAAAGCUCUAUCAGCAGGGAAGAUAGUGACGGUACCUGACUAAGAAGCUCCGGCUAAAUACGUG
rnacentral:rRNA from 1 species